AUUGAACGCUGGCGGCAUGCCUUACACAUGCAAGUCGAACGGCAGCGGACCUUCGGGUGCCGGCGAGUGGCGAACGGGUGAGUAAUAUAUCGGAACGUACCUUUCAGUGGGGGAUAACGUAGCGAAAGUUACGCUAAUACCGCAUAUUCUGUGAGCAGGAAAGCAGGGGAUCGCAAGACCUUGCGCUGAUUGAGCGGCCGAUAUCAGAUUAGCUAGUUGGUGAGGUAAAGGCUCACCAAGGCGACGAUCUGUAGCGGGUCUGAGAGGAUGAUCCGCCACACUGGAACUGAGACACGGUCCAGACUCCUACGGGAGGCAGCAGUGGGGAAUUUUGGACAAUCGGCGCAAGCCUGAUCCAGCCAUGCCGCGUGAGUGAAGAAGGCCUCGGUUGUAAG
rnacentral:rRNA from 1 species